GGGGGGUUGGAGGGUAGGUGUGAUCUCAAUACAAUCGUUACAAUGCAAACGGUGAGGGCGGGGUUGGGGAGGGAAUAAUUGUUUUGGGAAGUUACAAAUUGUCGAUAAAGUUGUGAUUGAUUUGGUGAGGGCAGAUUGUAGAGGCGUAACGAAGAUGCCUGCCGGCUCGCGAUUGGUCCGUUUGACCCGCUGCUCAGUGGGAGCAGAGGAGGCGUCCGAUUGGAUAGCGCCGGACUCUUAACCGCCAUGCUGAGAGGUCACCUGGUACCCAGGGCGACAAGGUCAAUCGAUCCUAUUGUAGAGAUCGGCGGCAUACAGACUUACCAAGUACAACGGCACUUUUUGAUCUUGUACUAACGAUGCACAAUGUGUUAGAAUUGAGAAUAGCCUGACUUAAUGAGGUUGGGUUAAUCGAACAGAAAACAUGAUCUGAAUGAGAAUGAUUAGAGUGAAAACAAUUAAAAUCUUGCCAGUGAAGCUUCUGAUCUUCUUACUUUUUGUUUUGUCACUUUUUAAUUUCCUCUUUUAAUACAAUGCAAUCUUUAGUUUUUGUUUUUCUGUUCAAGCUGUUUAUUCUGGAGGUUUUAAAGGGGAGAUAUUAUACCACCAGGUGUGAGUGUGAUUAGCCUAAAAAGCCGUUUCGAAAAUCUGCCCCAUAUGACAUCACUAGUGGACACGCCCACUAGUGAUGUCAUAUGGGGCAGAUUUUUGAAACGGCUUGUAAGGCUAAUCACACUCACACCUGGUGGUAUAGUAUGUCCCCUUUAAUGUGAAGCGGUGAACAGUAUACACACAGGCCCUGUAUACUUGUGUCUCGGAUCAACGCCGUCUACGAUGACCACUACUAAUGAUCGGAUUGUAGCAAUGAAGCUGAGACUUACUUGAAUGUUAUGUCAUUCAAUAAAGUUGAUGACGGGGCGGAAGUUGACGGACUCUUUGAUGUUGUUAAUUCUCUCCCUCUCUGGUCUCUCCUUCUCAUUCUCUCUCUCCAUCUCAUUCUCUCUCUUUCUGCCCCUCCAUCUCAUUCUCUCUGUCUUUCCAUCUCAUUCUGUUUCUCCAUCUCAUUGCCUCUUUCUGCCCCUCCAUCUCUUUCUAUUUCUCGACGUUAUAUUCUCUCUUUGUCCCUCCAUCUCCUACUCUUACCUGACACAACCUACAAAGUGAGAUCGGGUCAGGUAAGGGAAGACCCAUGGUCCCAGUGCAUGAUGGGUAAUGUCAUGUGAAAGGGGUAAUGGAACAAGCAGAAGUAUAGGUUCCUGUCCGAUAGGACAUACUUUUUUGGAAUAUGUCCUUUCCGAACCUCUUUUCCUUGACCUCGAUGGAAAAAAUCAUGCGGUCACACAAAGAUGUGAAGGAUAAUUCACAAGGACGUAGGAAAAGACAACCGCGGAGCUUAGACUGCCCUUACUCAAGGCUGUCAUUAUGCAACGGCAGAUAUGGACGGUGUGAAGAAACUACGAUGUAGAGAAGAUGGAACACUAAAGGCGCAUCUUGGGUACUUCGCCCGUGCAUUCGUUCUGUGUUUCAUGCAGGCUGUAUAACAAUGACAGCCCCAGUGCAGAUGAUUAAAUGAAAUUCAAUAAAGGCUCCCAUUUUACAAAAGGGAAACAAAAUAGUUGUCAUAUUGAUAAUAGUUGCUCACACAUAGAUCCCAAUUACUAUGAUUGAUUGUAGGGGAGUAAUUGAUUCCAUGAUCAGCCGAAUGGUGUGCUGCUCUAAAUGUUUGUUAAAGGAUGGGCCAGUGUACACUAUGCUAAAGGAGAGGAGA
ensembl:lncRNA